AAUUCCAGGGCGGUAACGACUCCCUAGGAGCCUGGGACCCUCUGACAAGAAACCCGAGGAGACACCGCGGAGAACUCUGCCUCUGAGCUGGUGGGCGGGCCGGAUGUAGCCGAGCGCGGACAGGGCUAGUCCGGACAGAGUCCCAGAGCCAUGGGAGCGAAAAGAGACUGCUGCGGAUUAAGGAGGCCUUUCGGUUGGCGCACCAGCCACACCACAACCAGGCGAAGCUGGUGGUGGCGCUGAAUCGCUCCUGCCGCGGGGUAAGCGCUCCCAGCCCGCGCCAGCCCCAGCCCCGACCUGGCGGGGCCAGGACGCUGAUUCAUACACACCAAGGGGUAACUGUCAGAUUCUGAAAAGAACUGCUGGAUCCAAGAGGAAAUGUGUUUGCAAAUAUGAUAGAUAUUUACAAUUGCCCUUCAUAGAGUGAUCCAUUUUACACUCCUAUCAGCAGAGAAGAGAAUGAGAGUACUGAGGUAAACAGCAAUGAAGUUUUUGAUGUGCCAAAUUCUGUGUGAAAUCAGCAGACUGUCUGGAUGCCAGAGUUUUGUUACAUUUUCUGUGGGUUGAUGAUUAUUGAAGCCAAGUAUUGGGUAAAAGCUUAUUUUCAACAAGGUGGAUUAUGAAGUCUGUACAGACUUAUAAGAUGGAGUUUUGCUGUUGUUGCCCAGGCUGGAGUGCAAUGGCGCAAUCUUGGCUCACUGCAACCUCCACCUCCCAAGUUCAAGUGAUUCUCCUCCCACAACCUCCCGAGUAGCUGGGAUUACAGGCACCUGCCACCACACCUGGCUAAUUUUGUAUUUUUAGUAGAGACGGGGUUUCUCCAUGUUGGUCAGGCUAGUCUCGAACUCCUGACCUCAGGUGAUCCGCCCGCAUUGGCAUCCCAAAGUGCUGGGAUUACAGGCGUGAUAAAUUGACUAUCUCAUACCAGGAAGUCAAAUGAGAAGACAUCAGUAAAAAUAUUCUGGCCAACUCAUGUUUUAUUUAUCAUAUCCUCAUCAUUAAUUCUUAUAAUGCCACAGUUUGUCAUGGUAUUUGUGGCAGCAGGCAAAGUCCUUGUUCAGACUUUGAUUAAAUUGCUGUGGCAUUUUUCUAUUAAAAAGAUCUCCUGUUU